GAGGAAAUGGUUGCACCAUUCAAAGGACAUUUCACUUUGCACAUUUAACAUUCUGAAAACGCAUACUGCAGAACGUAUUCUUACAACUCUUUGCUUUUUCUGGGAAAGCGCGAGUCUGUUGGGGAUGCGUUCAUAGGGCAAAUAAAGGCCAACCACAAAGUAAAACAAUUCAUGAUAAGAGAAUGUCGAGAGAGACAAUUUCCUCCUGUUCCAGCUGACAUGCAUGUGACUAACCUUAGAGAGCUUGUUUUUAACAAGAAAACAGUUCCUUCAUCCACUAUUCCCUUUGGACAGUAUGAACACUUGACAUGGGUUUACUGUACCUAAUACAACUUUAAUAUUUUAAGAUACUGUUUGCUUUGGCCUUCCUUGUUCUGUCACUGCAAAGUUGAAUAUGUCGGCAUGGAAAGAGAGACUAAGGAGAGUUGUUACAGUGGAGCCGGUGAUUUUCCUCAACAUGACCAGCACUUUCAUCGUAACACCUGCAUAUCAACAGAUGAUUAUCACAAAGGUGUGUCAAGAAUGAUACUAUCUGCAGUAACCCUGAGCACCACAAAGGGGACGAGGAGGUUCAGACGACAGCCUCCUACAUCCUGCUUUUGUUCAACACCACCCUCAUCCUGGUCUCCAUCCCUCCUGCCUUAAUGCUGGGCUCCUGGUCUGACCGCGCUGGCCGUCGCUGGGUCAUGGCGCUCCCAUCUGUGUUUUCCCUGUUGAGCAGGGGGUUACUCUUGGCUGUAAAUUUGUUGGGAAACUUGUUGGCAGUAGCUGAGUCCAUGAUAUUCGUUGGAGGCACAGUGAGCAAGAAUUCGGACUCCAGGCAGCAUUCGGGGCCUACAUUGGCUGCCACGUCCUGGUGGUGCUUUAUAUUGUGCUUUGGCUGAGAGACACUAUGAUGGGAGAAAAUACAUGUACUGUAUAGCUCUUUAUAAAAGGGAAACGGUUGAGCAAGGUUCUCAAGCAGACAAGUCUCGUCUGUUUAUCCUAAAGUAUGCCAAACUGUCUUUCAAAGCAGUGUUCAAGAGGAGGUCAGGGUAGGACUGAAAUUGCACUUUCGCAUUCUCUGCACAGUGUUUUGGACUUGAGUUUCCUUGUUUUGCCCCUGUCUUAGUUCCUGUUUUCCUUAUUUGGUCAUGUUUCAUGUGCCUGUCUGUUUAUUUGAUUCCACCUGUGUUUCCCUUGUUUCCUCGUUAUGUUGAUUUCAUUCCAGGUGUUCCUCGUCUGUUGUCAUUUAUCUCAGGUGUGUCUUAUCUCCCCCUCGUCUUGUCUGGUGUUUAAAUAGUGUUUCUUGUCUUUAGUCUGGUGCCAGGUAUUGUAUAUGUCUUCAUGUUCUCCUGUGUUCCAGAACUGUAUUCUGUGUUAUUUUGCCUUAAUAAAAGUCUGCUGGUUUUGAGCUACUCCCA
ensembl:lncRNA